AUGACUGCACGUGGGUGGACUCUCAAAGGUUUUCUGAGUCUUCUGGUGUUUCUCCAGACUCCUGAUCAUCGUCUUCAGCGCCUUCCUCUCCAGCUCCAAGUCCUCCUGCUCCUUCUCUCGCAGCAGAACGUUGUUGAGGGACACCAGGUGGUGGAACUUCUCCUGCCACUUCCGUUCUUGCAUGUUGACUUGAGCGACCAGCCUGGCGUUCUCUUCCUCCAGUCUGAUCAAAAGCAACCGAUCCAAGCUCUGCUUGUGCAGCCGCCUGGCGAGAGCUUCCUCCGCGUCCCUGAGUCGACUGAGCACCUCUGCUCCUCUGGCCGCCACCUUCGAAAGCUGCUGCCGCAGAUCGUGGACCGUUUCGGCCCCCGGCUCCUGGGAUUCCACGUUCUGCCCGAGGGAAUCCUCGACUCUGCACUCGUGCUUGAUCGAAUGCUCCGGUUUCACGGGCGGGGGCAUCAAGUGUGGCUCUGACAACUGUUGAUGUUCACAGACGGACACGUGUUGGACAUUCAUGCACUCCGGGUCGCAGUGCUGCACCUCUUCUUUUGCGGGGGGUUUUGGCUCAUUCUUGGGCUUCCAGAACCUCGCCAGCUGCUUCCUGAUGAACUUUAGCACGGCGGCGACUUUCAUUCUCUUUGAACUUGCCUGCAUUGUUAUUUAAGAUUCACAACCUAUUGGUUAUUAUAAAUUUGCUCAUUCAGAUCAAUGCCUGGUUUGCUCUGAUCAAUUAACUUCAAAGACAUUGCUGGGUGUCUUUGAUCAAUACGCCUCGGCUGUGUGGCGGGUUUUUGUUAGACACAAGACGGAGGCCAAAUCCAACAAAGGUGUGUUUAAAGAAUUGGCUCUCGUGUCAACUUCCGUGUGUGACUCACAUACAUUGGAAAUGCUAUUUUCAGCCCGGUGACACAUCCAAGUGCACGGGGAUGCUGUGCACGUUAAUGUGGGGUUUUCUGUUUGUUUCGUUUUUAUCUUUUAUACAUCAAGGAAAAAUGAGAUGAGUAACCUCUGACUAAUUUAUUCCUCAGUUCCUCGGUUUAGUCCCCACUAAUGAGAGCAUCCUUUCCUAUUCAGAGGUAUUUAACCAGCAACAUGUACCUAAAAUGUUGGGAUGCGAUCCCAUGAUAGCAACAACCCAGGUUGGACACAAAUGCUGUGAUGCUGACAGUGAUUAUUUACCAAAAAGACAGAAAAAAAACCUACAAAAAGGCAUUCAAAGAGCAGCUUCCUUCACCAAGCAGCUCAUUUCCAAACACAACCAUAAGUUCCUUGGUCUAUUAACAUUAACAUUUACUCAUCCUAAUGGUACAUUUUUAAAUCCCAAUAUCAAAUUAAAUCAUCUGAAGGCAGCGAGGACCUAAACAGCUUUAAAAAAUGGACGCGUGUGGAGGAGCAUGUGUGUUUAUCACAUAUAAUGGACAUUGAUGAAAUACAAAAAACCCAAUGAGAAUCAAUUCCAAAAUAUUGUGCAAAGCAAAACUGACGCAUCAGUUUUCCACCUUCCCAUUUAAAACAAAAAGAACAACCAAUCAGUAGAUUUUCACACUGCAAUAAAACCCGCUGACAUGUGUCAUUUGGAAACAAAGGCGGUAAAAAGGUUUCAAGACUGAAAUUACUGGACGACCGAGGUGUCGCUCUCCAUGGGCGCUGCACGCCGAGGCUCUAAUUGGCUUUGUUCUCCAGCCAAAUAAUAACCAUGUAUGCUAAUGGUGUAAAUCCUGCCGAUGGCUCUCAGAGCUCGUUUCACAUGAACAAUGAUGACGAAAAAAUGUAAAUGCCCACAUUUGCAGUAAUUGGUCUGGGGAAGACUGUCUGCUUUGUGCUUUUUGUGAUGCAAAUGCUUGAAUUUGUGGUCGCCUGGAAAGUUGGGCAGGGGAGAUUACCACACAUACUUCCAUGUCAUUAUCCCCCCCCAACUUUACCUUUUCAAUGGAAAUCAGAAGAUUUUAUAAACAGUACGCAGGACAUGUUUGAAUGUGAAUUGCAGCAGCGGGGGAAUAUCUUUCUUCUGAUCAUCUCUGCCUCUCUCAAACACGCCUUCCAACAAAGUUAUGAGAACGGCGCCCUGUUGCACGGCUGUAAUUGGCCAUUCACGGGACAGACCUGACAGGAGCCGGGUUUCAUCUCCAGCUUGUCCGGCAUGAAAGACGAACAGGGAGAAGAUAUGUGUAAACCUGAAAUGUUCCUAAGUAGUUAUCCGUAAGUUAUUUAGUUAGUUAUUCAUUUUUAGACACGCGAUUAUUAUGAAACACAUUAUUGUGGAUGAGCCUCUGGAAUUAAAAUAAAGUUUUAUAUAAAAAAAUAAAUAAAUCCAAACGCUUUAUUUAUGUUAUAUUCUGCAAGUUUUAUUGAGAAAAAAAAUUAAAAAUGAAAAUAUUCAUCAUUUAAGAACAAGAAAUUAUGCUUUAUAUUUGUAAUUCUAUUAAUAUACGGUAUAUGGAAUACAGUAGACAUUGAAACAUUUUUAUUCCAAAACGGUCUUAAUUCAAUCACGUUAACGGAUUCACACGUAACAACCAGACGAUCCGGAUCGGUAUUUUAUUUUACUCAUAAGAAAGAAAUCAAGCUUACCAUCUAUAGAUCACUUGUUGCGGGCUCGGGUAAGGACCGACCACCCCAGCAGAUGAGUCCCCUCCCGAUGCCACAGAUCAAGGCGCCGGGUCUUGAACCUGACCCCUCAGGACCAUCUAGGGCCAGCUUGUCACAUCGCAUUCCCGCUGGCGCAUUGUUUCCCCGGGACGUUAGUCAAUGCUUCAAGGGAGAUAGAUAGUGUGUCCGUCCGUCCAAUGAGCCUCCUCUCUCCCCUCUCCGAUCCCCGCGGCGCUCCCGGGUUUGACACUGGAGACAAAAACCAGCGGAGAGGACUAUGAAUGGUAAAGCACCGAGGAGGCCGAGGGAGAGCAAAAAGGAGGCGGUGUGCCUUUGUAGUCAUGGAGGAAUGCGGAAAUGUCCCCGCUCCGUGUCAAACCUCUCUGAAGGGGGUCAGGGCACAUUCAGCCGGCGUGGGAAAGCCAGCCAGAGACGGAGCUCACACAGGCGUGCGCGGCCGCGGUUGCAUGGGCCUACCCGGGGAUAUAUGGAAGAGAAAGGGGAGCGGAGAGAAAGGAGAAAAUCCAAAGAAGAAGCGUGGUUUGGGGAGGCCUGGAUCACGCAUUUGCCUUUGUCCUCUGACCCCCACCACCACCAACGCCGCCACCUCCUCCCACCCUACACCCCCACCCACAAAGUUGCAGUGUGAGUGUGUGUGUGUGUGUGUGUGUAUGAGAGAGAGAGUUUUCGUAAAGCACUCCUCCUCCUUCACCACCUCCUCCUCCCCGGUUUGAGUGUCUCUGCCUGGACUGGUGCAGUCUGAGGGAUGAGGGUUACAGCCUGCACCGUCCGACUACCUGUGUGGCCCCCGCAUGGAGCACAGGGAUGCGUUUGAUGCAGGACGUUUUUGCCCGAGACACCAAUGCCUCCUCAGCAUUUUGUCGGACAUGUCGACUCCACAGCAUUGUGUUGACAGCUUAAUCCAAGGUAAACACUUAAAGUCUAGAUAUUGGUGUCGGAUGUGAUAUUUGAUGUCCUCGAAAUAUCAGAAAGUGUCUAUUUAAAGCCCCAUAAUCCGUUGGAGACUGAACCGAGCAGCUGCGCAACUUGCCGGAAUUAUUUUAAUUAGCGAGGGUCAGCGCGCAAUUAAAUAAGAAAAAAAUCGAGGGAUGUACGUAAGCACUCCAAAACCACUUUAAAACUACGUUAGAACAUUGUUCCACCUACUAAUAAAGUUUAAAGCGUCCGAAACGCGACUUUUGCGCCGUUCUAAAUGGAUUGUUUCUGUAGGAAGUCCAGACAAUGCAAUCAGUCGCCAGCCACGUGCUCGCUAAGUUUGUGUCGCAUCAAACUCUGACGAAACAAAGUCAGGUUAAAAUAUGGACUCUCCGCGUUUCCAGCUUUUACAUUUUUAACGCGUCACGUUUCUGCUCAAACUUUGUGCGUUUUCCUUUACAUUUUCUGGUUUGGUUUCCUUUCACAGUUUAAGUGCGCAUUUACGCAUUUAAAGCAAAGCUGCACGUGGGUGUAGGCUUUUUAAAUGCACGAGACAGCUCGCUGAUCGCAGCCUUUGCUUUAAACCCAAUUUUUUUAUGCGCUUAAUUCGAAUUAUUUGACAUAUGCGUUAGAGGUAGCAGGACAUGAGUUGCUGUGCGUAAUAGGAGGAGGAGACGCAGCGGGGCUCUGGUGUUGGAAAUGAACCGUAAUGACAGUCCUGUUGCUGCCUACCUGGAGCCCAGUUUGACCGCGUCUGACAAAGAUGGUGUCUUCCUCCAUC
ensembl:lncRNA